rnacentral:piRNA from 1 species
UCCACAGUGGGUGUUCCUGUUUAUGCUGUG